rnacentral:tRNA from 3 species
GGGCCCAUAGUAAAGCGGUAUUACGCUGCCAUGGCAUGGCAGAGGUCGGGGUUCGACUCCCCGUGGGUCCA